rfam:Bombyx mori DNA, contig: Bm_scaf84_contig33457, strain: p50T/Dazao, build 2, whole genome shotgun sequence.
UUAACUGAAAUUUGUAUGGAGUUGGAACGUUUGCUGCUAGGGGCGCUGUUCCAACUGGGUACAAAUUUGAGUUA